UACGGGGGGGGCAAGCGUUGUUCGGAAUUACUGGGCGUAAAGGGCUCGUAGGCGGCCAACUAAGUCAGACGUGAAAUCCCUCGGCUUAACCGGGGAACUGCGUCUGAUACUGGAUGGCUUGAGAUUGGGAGAGGGAUGCGGAAUUCCAGGUGUAGCGGUGGAAAUGACGUGGAUAUCUGGAGGAACACCGGUGGCGAAGGCGGCAUCCUGGACCAACACUGACGCUGAGGAGCGAAAGCCAGGGGAGCAAAGCGGG
rnacentral:rRNA from 1 species